AUCGUCUCCCAUGGUUUAUUGCAUAGCUCUCUUGGGAUAUUGAUAGCGGUUUUCCGGCGAUCGACAAAGCUCUCACCGGUGUGUUUCUCUGCAGAUCCAGUUUGAGUUUCCCAAAAAAGCUUUUGCCUCUAUCGCUUAAACUGAGGCAGUAAUCGGGUCUGAGACUGAUGAUUUGGCCAAGGUGUUGUUAUCUGAGGAGUAAUGGAUGUGGUUUGAUUGUUUGUAGGGUUCUUUUGAGUGUUGAGAUCUCAGUCACUUGAAUUCUUAGCGAGGAUCUCUUUCAAUACAAGCUUUGGAUGGACAGUAAAAAAGAGAAAAAUAUCUGUUCUGCAUCCUUACUUGUACUUUUGUUUGUGGCUUAAAAAAUUUUGGUCAAGUAUAAUCUUGCACAUGCUGUGACUGAGAUUGUUAGACAAUCCUCACUGCAACAAGGUGGAAUGUUAAGAGAUUACCAAGUAGUUGGGUUGAAAUGGAUGCCUUCAUCACAUACUAUUAAUAGGCUGAAUGGGAUUUUGGCUGAUGAAAUGGGCCUAGGCAAAACUGUGCAGGUUAUGGCACAUUGAUCGCUUAUUUGAUGGAAUUCAAAUGGAACCAUGGACCGUAUCUCAUUAUAGUCCCAAAAGCCAUCUUAGUAAAUUGGAAGGCAAGGCGCUCUUCGGCUCCUUUAUGUUUGCUCACGUAGGGUGCUUUGUGAGGUCAUCGACUGAUAUCUUUCUAUAUCUUUCUUUUCCUUCAAAGUGAGCUGUUUAAAUGGUUUCCUUCAGUAUCAUGCAUUUUUUAUGCUGCACGAAAGUAAUUAAUGCCAUUAUUUAAUUUAAAACCUGUGUAGUAAUCCAGCUCUGUCAGGAGCACAAAUGUUACCAGCUCUUUUGAAACCUGAGCA